rnacentral:rRNA from 2 species
AACGCGAAGAACCUUACCGGGGCUUGACAUCGGAGGACAACUCUAGAAAUAGAGCUUAGGGGCAACCCUACUUCCAGACAGGUGCUGCAUGGCUGUCGUCAGCUCGUGCCGUGAGGUGUUGGGUUAAGUCCCGCAACGAGCGCAACCCUCGUCGUGUGUUGGUCCACAAGAUCUCUCACACGAGACCGCCGGUGAGAAGCCGGAGGAAGGUGGGGAUGACGUCAAGUCAGCAUGGCCCUUACGUCCCGGGCUACACACGUGCUACAAUGCGCCGAACAACGAGCUGCGAACCCGCGAGGGUAAGCCAAUCUCUUAAAUCGGCGCUCAGUUCGGAUUGAAGGCUGCAACUCGCCUUCAUGAAGUCGGAAUCGCUAGUAAACGCAGAUCAGCUACGCUGCGUUGAAUACGUUCCCGGGCCUUGUA